rnacentral:rRNA from 1 species
GAUGAACGCUGGCGGCGUGCCUAAUACAUGCAAGUCGAGCGAACGGACGAGAAGCUUGCUUCUCUGAUGUUAGCGGCGGACGGGUGAGUAACACGUGGAUAACCUACCUAUAAGACUGGGAUAACUUCGGGAAACCGGAGCUAAUACCGGAUAAUAUUUUGAACCGCAUGGUUCAAAAGUGAAAGACGGUCUUGCUGUCACUUAUAGAUGGAUCCGCGCUGCAUUAGCUAGUUGGUAAGGUAACGGCUUACCAAGGCAACGAUGCAUAGCCGACCUGAGAGGGUGAUCGGCCGCACUGGAACUGAGACACGGUCCAGACUCCUACGGGAGGCAGCAGUAGGGAAUCUUCCGCAAUGGGCGAAAGCCUGACGGAGCAACGCCGCGUGAGUGAUGAAGGUCUUCGGAUCGUAAAACUCUGUUAUUAGGGAAGAACAUAUGUGUAAGUAACUGUGCACAUCUUGACGGUACCUAAGCAGAAAGCACGGCUAACUACGUG